rnacentral:rRNA from 1 species
GCUACGGGUGGCUGCAGUGAGGAAUAUUGGUCAAUGGCCGCAGGGCUGAACCAGCCAAGUCGCGUGAGGGAUGACGGUCCUAUGGAUUGUAAACCUCUUUUGUCAGGGAGCAAAGGGCGCCACGUGUGGCGUUUUGCGAGUACCUGAAGAAAAAGCAUCGGCUAACUCCGUGCCAGCAGCCGCGGUAAUACGGAGGAUGCGAGCGUUAUCCGGAUUUGUUGGGUGUAAAGGGUGCGCAGGCGGAAUGUCAAGUCAGCGGUAACAUUUCGGGGCUCAACCCCGUCGUGCCGUUGAAACUGUGUCCCUUGAGUGCGCGAAGGGUAGGCGGAAUGCGUGGUGUAGCGGUGAAAUGCAUAGAUAUCACGCAGAACUCCGAUCACGAAGGCAGCCGACCGGCGCGCAACUGACGCUCAUGCACGAAAGCGUGGGUAUCGAACAGGAUUAGAUACCCGUGUAGUC